rnacentral:lncRNA from 1 species
UGUGUGUUUACGCCAUGUAUCUAAAAUUUGGGCGAAUGAAAAAAAAUAAUGUAUUGGCGAAAAUGAAAAGAUGUUCAUCGAAUGUUUUAGAAAGACUACAUAAAAAAGGUGAUGUGGUAUAAUUACCAAUGAGACAACUAUCCACAAAAGACCAAAAUGACACAAAUAUUAACAACUAUAGGUCACCGUACGGCCUUCAACAAUGAGCAAAGCCCAUACCGCAUAGUCGGCUAUAAAAGGCCCCGAUAAGACAAUGUAAAACAAUUCAAACGAGAAAACUAUGCCGGGUAAUUCAGAUUUAAAUGAAUAUAGUAUAAAAUUUUAGGAACUACAUAUGCAUGCAGAAGAUCCCUCCCCAUCCCCCUUGUGACACCACUGCAUAAAACAACAUAGGUUUGCAUACAUUUCAUUUAGCAAAAAGCAAUACAGAAGUAAAACGUAAAUUAUGUGUGUCUAUAAGACACGUUUAAAUACCCCAGCCAUAGUUGAUUUAGUCCAAUUAUUAGUUAUAAUGUAUAUGAAUGUAUAUUUGAAAAAAAUAUCCUAUAUAUAUAUAAAAGAAGAUGUGGUAUGAAUGCCAACGAGACAACUCUCCACUAGAGACCAAAAUGACACAGAAAUUAAUAAUUAUAGGUUACCCUACGGGCUUCAACAAUAAGAUAGGCCAAUACCGCAUAGUCAGCUAUACAAGGCCACGAAAUGACAAUGUAAAACCAUUCAAAAGAGAAAACUAACGGCCCUAUUUAUAUAAAACAUUGAACGAAAAAAAAAAUACUAGUAUGUAACACAUAAACAAACGACAACCACUGAAUUACAGGCUCCUGACUUGGGACAGGCACAUUCUUAUAUUAUGUGGCGGGGUUAAACCUGUUAGCGGGAUCCCAACCCCAUGCACUUAACAUGGGACAAUAGUAUAACAGUACAACAUAAGAACGAACUAUUAAAAUCGUUUGAAAAUGGCUUAACUCAUCAGAUGACAAAACUACAAGUGGACGUGGCCGGGUACUUGUUCAUCCCCAACAAAAAGACACUAUAGGAACAUAUCUCAAAGUACUCGCAGUUAACUGACAGCUAGUUCAAAGCCACCAACAACUAAUAAAACAAAUCAUGUAUCUAAGACUAAAUAUGGACUUGCACAUCACUAUUAUGCGUAUAAACAUCCCAGUUGCGGAACUAGAAAUUUUCAAAAGUGGGUCUCAGUACUGCCGAAAAGGGGGC